rnacentral:rRNA from 1 species
UCCUACGGGAGGCAGCAGUGGGGAAUAUUGCACAAUGGGCGCAAGCCUGAUGCAGCAACGCCGCGUGAGGGACGACGGCCUUCGGGUUGUAAACCUCUUUUAGUAGGGAAGAAGCGAAAGUGACGGUACCUGCAGAAAAAGCACCGGCUAACUACGUGCCAGCAGCCGCGGUAAUACGUAGGGUGCAAGCGUUGUCCGGAAUUAUUGGGCGUAAAGAGCUCGUAGGCGGUUUGUCGCGUCUGCUGUGAAAACCCGAGGCUCAACCUCGGGCCUGCAGUGGGUACGGGCAGACUAGAGUGCGGUAGGGGAGAUUGGAAUUCCUGGUGUAGCGGUGGAAUGCGCAGAUAUCAGGAGGAACACCAAUGGCGAAGGCAGAUCUCUGGGCCGUAACUGACGCUGAGGAGCGAAAGCAUGGGGAGCGAACAGGAUUAGAUACCCUGGUAGUCCAUGCCGUAAACGUUGGGAACUAGAUGUGGGGACCAUUCCACGGUCUCCGUGUCGCAGCUAACGCAUUAAGUUCCCCGCCUGGGGAGUACGGCCGCAAGGCUAAAACUCAAAGGAAUUGACGG